GGAAACCAAGGAGACCUCCCCCCAACCAUGGACCCACCGUCGCCAAGCCGGACCUCCCAAACCCAGCCCACAGCCACCUCUCCGCUGACUUCCUACCGCUGGCACACAGGGGGAGGUGGGGAGAAGGGGACUGGAGGGUUCCGCUGGGGCCGCUUUACUGGCUGGGGCAGGGCCCUGAGCCACCAGGAGCCCAUGGUCAGCACCCAGCCAGCCCCUCGCUCGAUAUUCCGUCGGGUCCUAUCUGCGCCUCCCAAGGAGUCACGGACCAGUCGCCUUCGACUCUCCAAGGCCCUGUGGGGGAGGCACAAGAACCCACCGCCGGAGCCAGACCCAGAGCUGGAGCAGGAGGCCCCAGAGCUGGAGCCAGAGCCAGAGCUGGAGCCCCCUACCCCACAGAUCCCCGAAGCCCCCACACCCAACGUGCCUGUCUGGGACAUUGGGGGCUUCACCCUCCUUGAUGGGAAGCUGGUGCUGCUUGGAGGAGAGGAGGAGGGUCCUCGAAGGCCCCGGGUGGGAAGUGCUAGCUCCGAGGGCAGCAUCCAUGUGGCCAUGGGGAACUUCAGGGAUCCAGAUCGGAUGCCUGGAAAGACAGAACCAGAGACUGCUGGUCCCAACCAGGUCCACAAUGUUCGGGGGUUGCUCAAGAGGCUGAAAGAGAAGAAAAAGGCCAGGUUGGAGCCCCGGGAUGGACCCCCCAGUGCUCUGGGCUCUAGGGAAUCGCUGGCCACACUCUCUGAACUGGACCUUGGCGCCGAGCGGGAUGUGCGGAUCUGGCCACUGCACCCCAGCCUCCUGGGGGAGCCCCACUGCUUUCAGGUAACGUGGACGGGUGGAAGCCGCUGCUUCUCUUGUCGUUCGGCCGCUGAGAGAGACCGCUGGAUCGAGGACCUUCGUCGCCAGUUCCAGCCCACCCAGGUCAUUGCCCUCAGAAAAGCGGGACACGGAGACCCUGCCCACAGGCCUGGCCCGCCCCUUCCACUCUACCCAAAGCCAGCUCGCUCCAUAACCCGCGCCCCCAACACACCUGCCCCGCCUGCAUCGUUGCAACAGCUCCAAGACUCCCCUUCCAUCUAUUACCAGCCCCGGGAAUAUCAGACCCGCCCCUUCUGUCCACUCCCGGCCCCAUAUGCACCCAAAGCCCUGCCUGCCAGGCAAUCGCGAAGUCUUUACUCCAGUACUACUCUUCUAUGCCCUGGAGCCCCGAACUCUCCCGGAGAGCCCUGAAAAGCUAGAAGACUUCUGCGUAACCACCUCCGGACUCCCGUAGCUCCACUUCUUUCCCCAAAGGCCCAGCAAUCUCCCUAGGGACCCGACGCAACAGGUUUGAGGCUCCACGCUUCACUUGCGGUGCCUUCUUUGGGGUGCCAACAAACCAAAACGCUUCCCCCCAUCCCACUCCCAUCUGCAGGACAACGUGGAGCGGGAAGAGACAUGGCUGAGCGUGUGGGUGCACGAAGCGAAGGGGCUUCCCCGGGCAGCGGCGGGGGCACCCGGCGUGCGCGCCGAGCUGUGGCUGGAUGGCGCGCUGCUGGCACGCACGGCGCCUCGGGCCGGCCCAGGCCAGCUCUUCUGGGCCGAGCGCUUCCACUUCGAGGCGCUGCCACCGGCACGUCGCCUGUCGCUGCGGCUGCGCGGCUUGGGCCCGGGAAGCGCGGUGCUGGGCCGCGUGGCCCUGGCGCUGGAGGAGCUGAGCGCCCCACGCGCGCCUGCCGCCGGCCUGGAGCGCUGGUUCCCGCUGCUUGGGGCGCCGGCGGGCGCAGCACUGCGGGCGCGGAUUCGGGCGCGUCGCCUGCGCGUGCUGCCGUCCGAGCGCUACAAGGAGCUGGCGGAGUUCCUCACCUUCCACUAUGCGCGCCUUUGCGGGGCCCUGGAGCCCGCGCUGCCUGCGCAGGCCAAGGAGGAGCUGGCGGCAGCCAUGGUGCGCGUGCUGCGGGCCACCGGCCGGGCGCAGGCGCUGGUGACUGACCUGGGCACUGCGGAGCUGGCGCGCUGUGGAGGCCGUGAGGCGCUGCUGUUCCGGGAAAACACAUUGGCCACCAAGGCUAUCGAUGAGUACAUGAAGCUCGUGGCACAGGAUUACCUCCAGGAGACCCUGGGACAGGUUGUGCGGCGUCUCUGUGCUUCUACUGAGGACUGUGAAGUGGACCCCAGCAAGUGUCCAGCCUCGGAGCUGCCAGAGCACCAGGCCAGACUUCGGAACAGCUGCGAGGAGGUCUUCGAAACCAUUAUCCAUUCCUACGACUGGUUCCCUGCGGAGCUGGGCAUCGUGUUCUCAAGCUGGCGAGAAGCAUGCAAAGAACGUGGCUCUGAGGUGCUGGGUCCCCGACUGGUGUGCGCCUCCCUCUUCCUGCGGCUCCUGUGCCCUGCCAUCCUGGCACCCAGCCUCUUUGGUUUAGCACCAGACCAUCCAGCACCCGGCCCAGCCCGCACCCUCACACUGAUUGCCAAGGUCAUCCAGAACCUCGCCAACCGUGCCCCGUUCGGUGAGAAGGAGGCCUACAUGGGCUUCAUGAAUAGCUUCCUGGAGGAACAUGGACCAGCCAUGCAAUGCUUCCUGGACCAGGUGGCCAUGGUGGAUGUGGAUGCUGCACCCAGUGGUUACCAGGGCAGUGGCGAUCUGGCCCUCCAGUUAGCUGUGCUGCAUGCCCAGCUUUGUACAAUCUUUGCUGAGCUUCACCAGACAACCCGAGACACCCUGGAACCGCUGCCCACCAUCCUGCGAGCCAUCGAGGAGGGCCAGCCUGUGCUCGUGUCAGUGCCAAUGCGUCUCCCACCGCCCCUGGCCCAGGUCCACUCCAGCCUCUCCGCAGAGGAGAAGCCCGGCUUCCUGGCCCCCCGGGACCUCCCCAAGCACACCCCUCUCAUCUCCAAGAGCCAGUCUCUGCGCAGCGUUCGCCGCUCAGAGAGUUGGGCCCGGCCACGGCCGGACGAAGAGCGGCCCCUGCGGCGGCCCCGGCCGGUGCAGCGUACGCAGAGUGUCCCGGUCCGGCGUCCUGCCCGCCGCCGCCAAUCUGCGGGGCCCUGGCCGCGACCCAAAGGCUCCCUGAGCACGGGCCCUGCGCCCCGCGCCCGGCCUUGGACCCGGGACUCCGCCUCGCUGCCUCGGAAGCCGUCGGUACCCUGGCAGCGCCAAAUGGACCAGCCGCAAGACCGAAACCAGGCACUGGGCACGCACCGACCUGUGAACAAGUUGGCAGAGCUGCAGUGCGAGGUGGCCGCUCUGCGUGAGGAGCAGAAAGUGCUGUCCCGCCUCGUGGAGUCGCUGAGCACCCACAUCCGGGCCUUGACGGAGCAGCAGGAGCAGCUGCGGGGCCAGCUGCAGGAUCUGGACUCCAGGCUCAGUGCUGGGUGAGCCCAGCCCUCUCCAUUAGCUCCGCCCCCAGGUGGGCCCAAUCCAGUUAGAUCUGACCAGGCCCUCCCCCCACAAACCACGCCUGGCACGACCAAGCCCCACCCUGGCCCCGCCCCAAUAAGUCUGUCCAGGCCCUGCCUCUUGGCAAGCCCCGCCCCCAGGUGGACCCACCCCACGAAGGUCGGCCUAGGACCCUGGCAGAUUCUCUCAUCCAGGCCCCACCCCUCCAUCAGCCCCUCCCAACCCAGCUGGGCUGGGUACUGAGAUAUCUCAGCCUGGGCACUCCCUCCAGCUCAGUCACGACCCCACCCAGGACUGGUCAAGCCCCACCUCCAAGGGAUGAUUGAUAGGUCCUGUCAUUCCAACCAUUCCAGUCUCUGGUCCGACCCUUCUUCAAGCGUAUUUAGGCCCCGCCCUUCAGUCUGAACAAGCUCCGCCUCCACUCCAAGCUCCGCCCCCUGAAUCCCUGGCACUCCAACCAGGAGCUGGAAGGGACUUCGUUAGCCUCUGACCUUCGCCCCGAUCCCCCGACCCCCACAGGAGCUCACAGUUUGAUUCAGAGCACAACCUAACAAGCAAUGAAGGGCACAGUCUGAAAAACCUGGAGCACCGCCUAAAUGAGAUGGAGAGAACUCAGGCUCAGCUGAGGGAUGCUGUCCAGAGCCUGCAGCUUUCUCCAAGGACGCGGGGGUCUUGGAGUCAACCCCGGCCCCUCAAAGCACCCUGCUUCAAUGGAGACACCACCUGAGCUGCCCAUCCUGCCUCAUCACACGUGGUCUGGGAGCAGAGAGAUAGCCAUCUUAGGGGGGGUGUCUGACCUUGCCUUAGCCCUACUUGGCCUACAGUGGGGAGUGGAGCUGCUGGUCCCAACCACUCUGGCAGUAUGAAGUUGCCCAGUAAAAUCUUGAUUUCAGUGAAA
rnacentral:sRNA from 1 species